AGUGAACGCUGGCGGUAGGCCUAACACAUGCAAGUCGAACGGCAGCACAGUAAGAGCUUGCUCUUACGGGUGGCGAGUGGCGGACGGGUGAGGAAUACAUCGGAAUCUACUUUUUCGUGGGGGAUAACGUAGGGAAACUUACGCUAAUACCGCAUACGACCUACGGGUGAAAGCAGGGGAUCUUCGGACCUUGCGCGAUUGAAUGAGCCGAUGUCGGAUUAGCUAGUUGGCGGGGUAAAGGCCCACCAAGGCGACGAUCCGUAGCUGGUCUGAGAGGAUGAUCAGCCACACUGGAACUGAGACACGGUCCAGACUCCUACGGGAGGCAGCAGUGGGGAAUAUUGGACAAUGGGCGCAAGCCUGAUCCAGCCAUACCGCGUGGGUGAAGAAGGCCUUCGGGUUGUAAAGCCCUUUUGUUGGGAAAGAAAAGCAGCAGGUUAAUACCCCACUGUUCUGACGGUACCCAAAGAAUAAGUACCGGCUAACUUCGUG
rnacentral:rRNA from 1 species